AGCGAACGCUGGCGGUAGGCCUAACACAUGCAAGUCGAACGGCAGCACAGUAAGAGCUUGCUCUUACGGGUGGCGAGUGGCGGACGGGUGAGGUAUACAUCGGAAUCUACUUUUUCGUGGGGGAUAACGUAGGGAAACUUACGCUAAUACCGCAUACGAUCUACGGGUGAAAGCAGUGGAUCUUCGGACCUUGCGCGAUUGAACGAGCCGCUGUUGGAUUAGCUAGUUGGCGGGGUAAAGGCCAACCAAGGCGGCGAUCCGUAGCUGGUCUGAGAGGAGGGUCAGCGACACUGGAACUGGGACACGGUCCAGACUCCUGCGGGAGGCAGCAGUGGGGAAUGUUGGACAAUGGGCGGAAGCCUGGUCCAGCCGUACCGCGUGUGUGGAGAAGGCCUUCGGGUUGUAAAGCCCUUUUGUUGGGAGAGAAAAGCAGCAGGUUAAUACCCCGCUGUUCUGACGGUACCCAAUGAAUAAGCACCGGCUAACUUCGUG
rnacentral:rRNA from 1 species